GCCACACUCACGGCAUAUGGAAGUUCCCGGGCUAGGGCUGGAUCACAGCUGCAGCUACCAGCCUACACCACAGCCACAGCAAGGCAGGAUCCAAGCCACAUCUGUGACCUAUGCCACAGCUGUGGCAAUGCCAGAUCUUUACCCCACUGAACAAGGCCAGGAACUGAACCUGCAUCUUCAUGGACACUAUGUGGGGUUCUUAACCCACUGAGCCAUAACGGGCACUCCCCCAGUGUUGAUGCAGUUGUGGCAUAGGUUGCAGUUGCAGCUUAGAUUCAACCCCUGGCCUGGGGACUUCCGUAUGCCUCGAAUGCAUAUGAAAAGGAAAAAAGAGAGCGAGAGACUAGCUUAUCUAAAUCAUAAAUAAUAAGAGUAACUGAGAAAAUAUUAGCGGCUAAUUUAGAGUGAAAAUCGAAGUAGUCAAUACGUUUCGUUGAGUUGCUAAUUAGAAAGGAUUCUGUGUAGCUGAUACGGGAGCACUUGUACGAAAUAUGAGAGAAAAAUGAUCUAUUGUAUUUUUUUGGGGGGGCACACUCACAGCAAAGUUCCCAGGUCAGGGGUCUAACCCGUGCCACAGAAGUGAUCUGAGUCACAGCAGUGACGAUGCCAGAUCCUCAACCUGCUGGGUCACCAGGGAACUCCUGAUCUUAUAUUUUCAAUCCUUUCCUCCCACUGUCUUCAAAAAGUGUAGUCACCCUCUGGUCAGUUUUAUCAUUUCUAAAGGUCUCGGCCCAGCUGAUCGCUCUCCUAGUUCAUCUCUGUUUAGAGUUACUCUGCAGCUCCUAGAGAACAGGGAGGACAGGCUCCCCCUCCCACAGAAAAGGGUACAGUCCCCUCUCUGCCAGGUAACCUGUUCAACUCUGACUUAGGAACAGUUCACACCACCGAGUUCCUCCCACCUGGACCCGAGGUCUCCAAGUUGAAGAAAAGUUAGCAGCGGAGUUGCAGUACGACCUUGCAAAGGGACAGGGCACAUGGAGAUGGGCAGCGGGAGAGAAGGGGACCGUGUCCCUCCAGGAAGGGAUGUCCCUGAGAUGACCCCGCUCCAAUGGCAGUCGGAAUCCUGGGGAACAGCAAGGAGCCCCGGAAGUCAGGUGGCCUGGGCGGCCUUCUCCAGAGGUCUGGAAUGACUUCCAGCGGGCUUGCUGCAGUGCACAAAGAGCUCUCGGACCCCACGACCCAUCACCGUCUCCUCAAGAACAGGCCAGGAGGUCACAAGAACACAGAAGCUGAACCUGAGCUUUCAGUUCCAUCCUUUGGCCCCUUUAUAGGAAGGCGAAAGAAAGCAUUUCACAACCAGUUAGAAGUGACAUCACGUGUUCACUUCCCUUAAAAUAGGGCCUUGCUCUCAGUUGGAAAUUUACAGCAGCAUGAAAAAAAGGAAAAAAAAAAAAAAAUCCAAUGACAUGCAACUCAGUAUUGCUGAGCUGGUGGCAAGAAGAGCGAAGAUAAUCACAGCCGGAUACAGACUUGACAGCUGACAUGAAAGCACGAUGUAGACCUAGCUUUCAUCUCACUGUUACCAACAUUAUUCAAAUUAGUAAUCAAUAUGAAAAUAUGUUGGCUCUCUAGAAACCUGCCUACCUCUCUGAUUUUCAAAACCCCUCGUACAAAGAUUCAGGGAAAGAAAGGCCAUUUCUUUACAAGGUACACAUGGUACAACCCCUCAGCACUUAGCACAGAUACUGUUCACAUUUAAACAACAGCUCUUGAAAUCUGAAAAGCAAGGAAUACAGAGGAUGUUUCCAGAAGCACGUGCUUUAUUUAGGCUUAUGUGCGGCACUGCUGGGGCUGAGGGGCAAGGGAGUGCUCACGACCACAGGCAAGGUCUGCCCUGCUGUCCUUUGCUCAGGGAAAAGUCAGUGACAGCUCACCACUUCCGUCCACACUCGGGAACAUUCACCAGGGAUCACUGCUUCCACCCCCACACACCACCCAGCGGCAGAGCAGCGUGGCUUUCCCAGUCCCUCCCUGCACAGCGUGCGGGUGGUCGUCCUCAGAGCAGACCCGCUGGUCUCUUGUAAACGGAGAUGUAACCGACAUAAAAUAAAAACUACCUUUUACAGGUAGAGACUUGGAUGUGUUGAGAUGGACACACGGCGUGCAUAACCAUCAGCACGUCAGGGCAGAGAAUACUCCCACCUCCCAGAGGUCCCUCGGGCCCUCCUGCUGUCAAUCUUCUCCCCACACUGCCCCUGGCAACCACUAACCUGACUUCUGUCCCUUUUCCAAGAUGUCCAGAAUAAGCGGAGACCACAUAGUAUGUAACCUGGCUUUGGUAACUGGCUCUGUCACUUACUGUAAGGCUUUUGCGACUGCCCUAUACUGUUUCCUACAUCAGUGAUUCAUUCCACUUCAUUGCGAAACAGUAUUCUAUUGUGAGAAUAUACCACCAUCUGUUUACCUUUUCAUUCUGUUGAAGGACAUUUGGGUUGUUUUUGGUUUGGGACAAUUAUAAGCAAAGAAGCUAGAAACAUUACCUAUAGGUCUUUGUGUGGACAUUGGUUUUCAUUUCUCUUGGGCAAAUAGUUAGGAGUGGAAUUGCCAUCUGGUAAGUGUACGUCUAACUUUAUAUGAAAAAGUGGCUGGACCACUUUGCACUCCCAUCAGCAGUGCAGGAAUUUUAAUUGCUCUGCAUCCUCAGUAGCACUUGGCAUUGUCAGUUUGUUUGUUUGUUUGUUUUGUCUUUUAGGGCUGCAUCCACAGCAAUGGAGGUUCCCAGGCUAGGGGUCUAAUCAGAGCUGUAGCCGCUGGCCUACACCACAGCCACAGCAACUCGGGAUCCGAGCCGCAUCUGCGACCUACACCACACCUCACGGCAACGCCAGAUCCCUAACCCACUGAGCAAGGCCAGGGAGCAAACCUGUGUCCUCAUGGAUGCUAGUUGGGUUCGUUAACCACUGAGCCAAGACAGGAACUCCCUAUUGUCAGUUUUAACAAAAACCAUUUUAGCCAUUCUGUUUCAUAUACAGAAAUAACUCACUGUGAUUUUAAUUUGUGAUUUCCUCGUGUCUAAUGAUACUGAGCAUCUUUUCUUGCUGCUAUUUGCCAACCACAUGGCUUCUAUGGUAGAGUGUUUUGUCUUUUUUAAAACUGAGGUAUAAUGACUGGUUUUUAAAAUGCAAGGAAAUUGAUUUCAAAUAUAUGUUAAAUGGAUGAUACAUUAAAGUCAGGAUGUGUAUAGUUAGCUAUUUCUGCUUUAUUGGUUUUAUAAUUAAAACGCUCCUCUCUUACUUUUCAAAACACUAGCUUGUUUUGAAUUGGCCAAAUGGCAGAUAACUUCAUGUAGGAACUGAAAAUAAACACGCUUUCUUCCAAUACUAAUCAAUUGCUUUGUUCAUAAAAUGUCCAUUUUGAAAACUAGGUCUGAAGCCGUCUACGUUUCUAACUUUCUCUAAAUUCAGGCUCACCCCCUCAGAUACCAUGGUGCUGAAGACAGAUGCUCAACAUGCAAGUGCCUGGGUGCAGGGUGGGAAGCCCCUACUCUCCCCCAGGAACCACUUGGCUGAGGGAAGGGGCGGGGGGGGGCAGGUAUACUGGAGGCAACAUCCAAAGUGAGUUUGCACGGACAGGUGGGAAGCUGGACAGACUGACGGCGAGGUGAGGGGAGUGACUCCAGGCAGAGACAGUGUUGGCAAAAUGAAGAAAGUGAGACAACACGGAGACCUGGGCUCGGGGAGAAGCCAUUAGGAAUGCAGGGGGUGACUGGGCUAGCUGGGGGCUGGAUGCAGUGGGUGGCCUGGGAGGUGGGGUCAGACAGUGAAAAGGCUUCACCCUGAAGGGGGCAGUGCUCCGGGAGGGACGGGUGGGGUUCAGGAGGUAAAGCCCCUGGAGGGACAGUACGAGUAGCCUCUGACUCUGAGGCACAGCAGGAGAAAGGAACGGCUCUGUCCUCUAGGUGGCAGAUGGGGGCAGGACAGAGGUAGCAGGAUCCCAGCUCCCAGGGACCUCAGGUGGCGGUUCCUGCAGGCCGGGCCUAUGUGGCAGAAAGAACGGAGCCACCUCCUUCCCGGAUUCUCCCAGAGACGGUUCUCCCUCCUCCCUCCACCCAACCACCAAGCUCUGCCCGGCUGGUUCUGCUGUCUCCUGGCAAUCUGAGUCGCUCUACCCCCUUUCCACCCACGAUGCCCUUCGCCUAUGCCCAGAGGCCAGGGGCUGCCCGCCGUCUUCCUGGCCGCCUGUGAGUCUCACCCUCAUCCUUCCUCUGGCUCCCCUCUGCCCUGGGCCCCAGAACCCAGUGGAAGACAAGCCUUGGUUUCACGGCCAGCUAGGACGAGUAUGGGGCUGGAGCUGCAGAGACCCCUUGGCAGAAACGUCUGUGUAACUGAGAACCAGAGCGGAGACAGUGGGCUUUGCCUAAAAGCCAGCGGGUUUAUAAUUACGGGGUGCUGGGAAGGACUGUUCAAACAGGUCCCACCAGUUCCUCAUUCAGCCCCUGGGUGUGAACAGUCUGGGACGCAGCCCACAAGGAUGCAGGAGACGUUUGCUUCUCUGGCCUUCCAGCUGCUUACCUUUGCCAACUCUGUCUGCGGAACAGAGCGGCCGAAGGCAGCAGGAAAGCCAGCGGAUGGGGAAGCAGGUCAGUGGGACCCCCGGGAUCCCAGAGGGAUGGGAGGCAACGUGAAUGCAGACGUGUAGCUCCUCUGAGCCCCACCCACUGGCCCCCAGGGCCACCAGUUACCAGGACCAAGGUCUGGCCAGGGGACCUACACGGUGCCGCGCACCAACCACUUCACACACACACACCGUCCACGUUAGUCCUUUACCCUCCUCUUCGGUCGGUGACCACCUCACAGACAAAACACUGACCACAACCAAAGUCCCAGGGUGAAACCAGAGGCCAGGUGAGAAGGGAGCUGGGCUCUCCCUCCCCCUGCGGCCUCGGCACGAACCUCGUCCUGCGUGGCUCACCUUAAUGUCACGAAGAAUCCUAGGACUCCCUGGACGCCCCCAGGUACCCCAGGAGGUUCUGGCUGUCUCACUGCUGCCUUGAUGCACAACUGAGGGAGGGAGCAGUAGCCCUCACACAGAGGGUGCUCUUAGGCCUGUGCCCCAGACCACCCUGCCCCUGGAUGGCCUCACCUCCCGCCGGCCCGGGCCUGUGCAGACCAGAGCCCACAGCACACAGCAGGUCGACCCACACGCCUUCCAACUGUGUCCCAAGGGGCUGGGCCUUUGUCUUCCUUACCCACCGCUUCUUCCACCGCCUCCCGCUCACUGGCUCUCAGCAGGCCCUCAAUAAAAAUGUGAAAGGUAAAACCCUGAUGCAGCUAGAAAAAAAUAUAGGCAGGGCAGGACCCCUCAGCAAAAUUUCAAAAGUAGAAGCUAUAAGGAUAUGUGGGCACACAGUUGUGUGUGUGUGUAAAUAAACUAUUACCUCAAAAAUUAAGGAUUUCUGUUCAGAAAUCAGUAACACAGACAAAGUUAACAGAUUCAAAUACUGUCUCCUAAUCUGCUUAAAUUGUCUAAAGUGACAUGGGACUAAAAUCUGAACUAUCUCAGGAAGCCCGACCCAUCAACACUGAGAGGCCUGCAGGAAGAUGCGCACAGAUACGAGUGGUGACCCGCGAGAGAAGCGGAAGGUCACGGGGCUAACGGCCUGAGCGAAGGGCUCACACUCGUGGGACUUGGGGGAAUGCCCACGAAAAGAGCGACACAGCUCUGCCCCCCACAGAGGGCACUCGGGAGAGCAGGAAGGGCCAAGCGUAGGGUGGAGCUGCGCACUGAGGACCCCCUACUGAGCCACGCGGGUGGGAAAACAGCCAGGGGCGGGCCUGUGACCACCAGGCAGGAAGGCAGGGAGCAGACACGUGCCCCAGGAGGACCCAGCCUCGUUGCUCCUGAGUUUUAUCCCCAAAGAAAUGCUGGCUCAGAUCAUGGAGCACCUGGGGGGCACCCCAGUGUGGCAACAAAAAGGACAGGCAGGACUGUGUAGACACUGCAACGGAAGAGAUCUCACUGACAGUGCCGAGAGGAGAAAGACAGAGAAGCGGAACGAGAAACGGAACAACAGGGCACAGGAUGCCUCGACAUGAAUUCAAAAUAUUGGCACAUAAGCAAGGAUGACACCUACGCGAGAACACAGGCGCACACAAAUGCCGUAACCUUAGAAACGGGGAGUGGCUCAGGUGUCAAAGGCAGGGAGGUGGUGCUGAACGCGUUCGCCUACCUGCCCCAAUCCCGGCUCCCUGCUAAGGCUCGGUGGCUGGUCUUCCCCACGGAGGCACCCCUGACACCUGCCACACCACCAAGAGGGCGCGCCUGGAUCGCCUGCGCUAGCAGACAGGCGACACCAGUCCCCUGCCGUAGCGUCCUGCUGGCUGGUCCACCUGGGGACCACAAGGGCCCUUCCAAACACUGUCCCCAUGGGUCACAAUCGUGCCGUUAGCCUCCCUGCCCCAGCUGGACUGCAAGCCUCCUGGUAACAAGCACAGCACAGUAUUUUUCAUCAGCAGCAGCAUCAUAAUUGAUGCCAGGCUGUGGGCUGACAGCUCUACAUGUCACCUCAUUUAAUCUUGUAAUGAUCCCAAGGCAGUGGGAUUUUACAGAAAAGGAAACAGAUUUGAAGAGGCAAAGUCACUCAUAAUCAUGCAGCCGAAAGGAGGCAGACUCCACCUUCCAGAAUCUUCCUCGGGCUGAGAACAGGGCGAGUGUUAGAGCCAAGACUUAAAAGGUCACUAUCAGGUGAUGUGUGUGUUUCCAACCAGCUCUGCAGGUUCCAGGAAAGGCACAGACAGAGUUCGAGCCUGUGGGUCACUGUGUGAC
rnacentral:lncRNA from 1 species